rnacentral:rRNA from 1 species
CCCUUAGAUGUUCUGGGCCGCACGCGCGCUACACUGACGAAUGCAACGAGCUUAUAACCUUGGCCGAAAGGUCUGGGUAAUCUCCAAAUUUCGUCGUGAUGGGGAUAGAUUAUUGCAAUUAUUAAUCUUCAACGAGGAAUGCCUAGUAAGCGCAAGUCAUCAGCUUGCGUUGAUUACGUCCCUGCCCUUUGUACACACCGCCCGUCGCUCCUACCGAUUGAAUGGUCCGGUGAAGCGUUCGGACCGUGGCCUUUGGACGGUUCGCCGUCUGUUGGCUGCGGGAAGUUCGUUAAACCUUAUCAUUUAGAGGAUGGAGAAGUCGUAACA